rnacentral:rRNA from 1 species
UACAGAGGGUGCAAGCGUUAAUCGGAAUUACUGGGCGUAAAGCGAGCGUAGUCGGUUAUUUAAGUCGGGUGUGAAAGCCCCGGGCUCAACCUGGGAAUUGCAUUCGAUACUGGAUAGCUAGAGUUCGGCAGAGGGAAGCGGAAUUUCCGGUGUAGCGGUGAAAUGCGCAGAUAUCAGGAGGAACACCGGUGGCGAAGGCGGGUCUCUGGGCCGAUACUGACGCUGGAGGAGCGAAAGCGUGGGGAGCGAACAGG